rnacentral:rRNA from 1 species
CUGCUGGAGGUAUCAGAAGUGCGAAUGCUGACAUAAGUAACGAUAAAGCGGGUGAAAAGCCCGCUCGCCGGAAGACCAAGGGUUCCUGUCCAACGUUAAUCGGGGCAGGGUGAGUCGACCCCUAAGGCGAGGCCGAAAGGCGUAGUCGAUGGGAAACAGGUUAAUAUUCCUGUACUUGGUGUUACUGCGAAGGGGGGACGGAGAAGGCUAUGUCAUCCGGGCGACGGUUGUCCCGGUUUAAGCGUGCAGGUGGAAUGACCAGGUAAAUCCGGUUGUUUGUCAACACUGAGGCGUGAUGACGAGGCACUACGGUGCUGAAGUGACAGAUGCCCUGCUUCCAGGAAAAGCCUCUAAGCAUCAGGUAACACGAAAUCGUACCCCAAACCGACACAGGUGGUCAGGUAGAGAAUACCAAGGCGCUUGAGAGAACUCGGGUGAAGGAACUAGGCAAAAUGGUGCCGUAACUUCGGGAGAAGGCACGCUGGUGCGUAGGUGAAG